CCUAUCUCCAGCUAACGUUCCGGGCGAGAGGCGGGGUCACCCUGGACAGGUCGCCAGUCUGUCGCAGCUUGUUCUAACAAUGUUUGUGAAUUUAUGUCUUUGCUUUUAUUAGUUACCCUUCUGCAUACGGGGCGGGAGGAGUUACAGAAGCAGUGGUCAGAAAGGCAAACCAUUACUAAAAAUAGUUUCAAAUGUAAUAUAGAGAAUAUAAAUGGGGAUGUUGUGUUUGAGAUACGAAUCUUUGAAGGUUGACCAUUAACUUUCGGUGAAAUUCUGUAAAAAAAAAAAAAAAUGUUCCUGCUUCAAGCAGUCUGGGCUUUCUCCCUUUGACUAGGAUUGUUUCCGGUCAAUUUUUGGCAGGGCCACUCAGCGAACAGAAGGAGGUUGUCGACGAUGACGUUGAUUUUCUGCGCCGUAUUAAAAUGUACUUUCAGCAAUGGCAGCGGCGGAAGUGAACGAAGCUGUUCAGUCCGUUUCAGCCAUGCUUCCAAAUACUGAAUUGACAUAAACCUCCUUCGGAUAGGCACUCUCUCUUCGCAGAGGAUGUUUGAUUACAGCUGAGACGAGCAAAAAGCCCAGAACCUCUGCAGGAAACAAGGUGUAGUAGUACAAAGGGCUGGUUUUUACCAGGAUCUUGGAAACCAGUAAGUGUUUUUUGCUUUAACCCUUUCAUGCAUGAAUUAUGAUCGUGUAAGUCAGGAUUUUUCCCAAAGUGUUGUUGAUUUUAUCAAGGCAUUAAAAAUAAGGUGGGAAGAAAAAUUUUGUAAAUUCUUUUUAGGAUUUGUCCAAGUGUCCACUUAGGUGGACAACAUGCGCUUACGUCUUUUCAACUAAUUAAAUGCUAUAUACUAUAAUGUGAAUAUAUUUUGACAUUAGUUAACAGAAUGCAUAAAUAUAUAACAUUGUAUUCAACUCUCAUCCUAGUCUUAUGCUCACUACUAACUGAUCCCUUAAUUUAGUCACUGUCAUUCAACCGCUUGAUCUCAUUUUUGUCUUAUUUUGUCUCCUCCUCAAGCAGUAUGAUUUUAUUAUGGACAUGUUUAAUUUAAUAAAACAAAUGACAUUGAAUAUGGC